rnacentral:rRNA from 1 species
AUUGAACGCUGGCGGCAGGCCUAACACAUGCAAGUCGAGCGGAUGAAGAGAGCUUGCUCUCUGAUUCAGCGGCGGACGGGUGAGUAAUGCCUAGGAAUCUGCCUGGUAGUGGGGGACAACGUUUCGAAAGGAACGCUAAUACCGCAUACGUCCUACGGGAGAAAGUGGGGGAUCUUCGGACCUCACGCUAUCAGAUGAGCCUAGGUACGAUUAGCUAGUUGGUGAGGUAAAGGCUCACCAAGGCGACGAUCGUUAACUGGUCUGAGAGGAUGAUCAGUCACACUGGAACUGAGACACGGUCCAGACUCCUACGGGAGGCAGCAGUGGGGGAUAUUGGACAAUGGGCGAAAGCCUGAUCCAGCCAUGCCGCGUGUGUGAAGAAGGUCUUCGGAUUGUAAAGCACUUUAAGUUGGGAGGAAGGGCAGUAAGUUAAUACCUUGCUGUUUUGACGUUACCGACAGAAUAAGCACCGGCUAACUUCGUGCCAGCCGCCGCGGUAAAAC